AUUUGGAGAGGAUGCUUCUGGCGCGGCGCCGUCCGAGUUCCUUGGAACAGGACGCCACAGAGGGUGAGAGCCCCGUACGGACGGACGCCUAACCGAUGCGAAGCUCCUUCGACGAGUCGAGUAGUUUGGGAAUGCUGCUCAAAAUGGGAGGUAAAUUUCUUCUAAAGCUAAAUACCGGCCAGAGACCGAUAGCGCACAAGUAGAGUGAUCGAAAGAUGAAAAGCACUUUGAAAAGAGGGUUAAAAAGUACGUGAAAUUGUUGAAAGGGAAGCGCCUGUGACCAGACUUGCGCCCCGCGGACCACCCGGCGUUCUCGCCGGUGCACUCCGCGGGGCGCAGGCCAGCAUCGGUUCUCCCAGGGGGACAAAGGCCGCGGGAACGUAGCUCCUUCGGGAGUGUUAUAGCCCGCGGCGGCAUGCCCCUGGGGGGACCGAGGACCGCGCUUCGGCAAGGAUGCUGGCGUAAUGGUCACCAGCGACCCGUCUUGAAACACGGACCAAGGAGUCAAGCAUUGGGGCGAGUGUAUGGGUGCCAAACCCGCACGCGAAAUGAAAGUAAACGCAGGUGAGAGCUUCGGCGCAUCAUCGACCGAUCCUGAUGUCUUCGGAUGGAUUUGAGUAAGAGCCUUACCGCUUGGACCCGAAAGAUGGUGAACUAUGCCUGAAUAGGGUGAAGCCAGAGGAAACUCUGGUGGAGG
rnacentral:rRNA from 1 species